ACUUAGGGCUUAAAAACAUGUUCAUCUCUCUCUCACUUUGUGACUCUCUCAGUCUGCGACUGUCUCUGUCUCUCGCAUCUGCCCAACUCCGAUUCUCUCUCUCUCUCUCUCUCUCUCUCUCUCUCUCUCUCUCUCGCUUUUGUCUCCAUUGUCGUUGGUACAGGAGCACCAUCGACAUCGACGCCCGUUGCACAUGAGGACCAUCGCAAACCAACAGCCUAUAUCAUCUUAUCUUGUAGUCACGAUCCAUCAUUGGGGCACUAGCCAAGCAUUUCAGGCUCUUCAGUUAUGGACGGCUCCUCUGUAGUGCAGCAGAGCUCCAAUCAAGACCCGAGCUCCAAUCAAGACCCAAGCUCCCAACAGGUGCCACAAAGUCAGCAGCAGCAAGGGGCUUCCAGUGCUACAUCGUUGCCCACGUCAAGAAUGGGCCAAGUUUCACUUCCCCCUGGCCCACAUGUCCCUGGCUCUUUCAUACAGGAUCCCAAUAAUAUAGCCCAGCUGCAGAAAAAACCCCGAUUGGAUAUCAAGCAGGAAGACAUUAUGCAACAGCAGGUUCUGCAACAACUACUGGAGCGACAGGAAUCCAUGCAAUUACAAACCCACAAUCCUCAGUUACAAGCUUUAAUUCAGCAGCAGAGAAUGCGACAACAGCAGCAACAGUUUCUGCAGUCUAUAUCACCAGUGCAGCGAGCCCACAUACUACAACAAUAGCAACAGCAGCAGCAGCAGCUGCAGUUGAGACAACAACUUCAACAACAGGGUAUGCAACCUAUGUCUUCCAUAAAGCGACCCAAUGAUAAUGGUGUAUGUCCUCGUAGACUAAUGCAAUAUUUAUACCAUCAGCGGCAACGGCCCCCUACCCAUACUAUUGCCUACUGGAGGAAGUUUGUCGCAGAGUACUACUCCCCGCGUGCAAAGAAAAGAUGGUACUUGUCAUUAUAUGAUAAUGUUGGUCAUCAUUCACUAGGUGUUUUCCCCCAGGCAACCAUGAUUGGAAAAAUUGGGACCUUUAGAGUGGGACAAGGUAGUACAUGGACAUGAAGCAUGGAGACUUAUCACUUAUAUUUGGUUGCAUGCUGGUGUUAUUCAUCUGCUAGCAAACAUGUUGAGCUUGGUAUUUAAAUGUGAAGUUUCUUAUUCCCUAAUGCUUUUCAAUUGUUAGAUUCUUGGUCUCAAUUCCCAGCAGAGCAAUAUGCUGGGUUCCAAUUCCCAACUUAGGGAGAUGAUGCAAAACCCAGAAUUCAUUCGUUAAUUGACUUCUCUUGAAACAAUGCAGCAACUCAUGACUUUACAACAAACUCUUUUGUCUCAGCUUGGUCGGCAACCAUCAACCCAGGAAGCGGGUCAAACCGGUGGGGGAACAGUGGAGGUCAUCAUUUAUGAUAGCACCCUGUCUUGCCACAUCUAUAUCAAGUUUUAACAUUCUUGGUUGCAAUCAAUGAGAGGGAACUUGUCAAUGGUUAGUUCUACAAUAGGGAACUCCAAAAGAGUCUUAAGGACUGUUGGUGUGCAGGAACACUUGACAACAUGGGAUUGGAGAUGUUGAUGAAUAUGUUUGGGGGUCUUGGGAUUGGAAGCCCUGCCGUUCCUGUCAGAUCAGAUGUGCCCCCGGGAGAACUGUAUGCCACUUAGCUCUCACAGCUACAAGAAAUGGGCUUCUUUGAUACCCGAGAGAAUAUACAGGCACUGAUAGCCACUGCAGGGAAUGCUCAUGCUGCAGUGGAGCGGCUUUUGGGGAACCCCGCUAGCAGAAGCAGCAAAAACACAAUUUUCACGUGAUUACAGUGAUAACCUUGCUCUUGUCCGGGCUUAUGAGGCCUGGAAAGAAGCUGAAAGAGACGUAGCUGGAUAUGAAUACUGUUGGAAGAAUUUUCUUUUUGCUCAAUCAAUGAAAGCUAUUGAUGCUCUGUGAAGGGAGUUUUACUCUUUACUUAAGGAAUAUGUUUUAAAUUUUAAUGCUAAGUGGAUGUGAAUUCGAUGAUUAUAUAGAUUACAAACGGAUUUUUAAUUGAACGAAUAUGUAGUCUGGAAUUACUUGUGGAUGAAAAUUUAUAAUAGUUGUUGACUUUAAUUAAACAGGUUCAGAGUUUGAUGAUUUAUAUAGUUUGUUGAAUGUUCAUGAUUCAGGUGAAUUGUUGGUUUGAUUGAUUAUUGUAAAUUACAGAUUGUAUUGAAUAGAUUGGAUAGAUUAUUAUGAA